GUGGGGAAUAUUGGACAAUGGGCGAAAGCCUGAUCCAGCCAUGCCGCGUGUGUGAAGAAGGUCUUCGGAUUGUAAAGCACUUUAAGUUGGGAGGAAGGGCAGUAAGUUAAUACCUUGCUGUUUUGACGUUACCGACAGAAUAAGCACCGGCUAACUUCGUGCCAGCAGCCGCGGUAAUACGAAGGGUGCAAGCGUUAAUCGGAAUUACUGGGCGUAAAGCGCGCGUAGGUGGCUUUGUAAGUUGGAGGUGAAAUCCCCGGGCUCAACCUGGGAACUGCCUCCAAAACUGCAUGACUAGAGUACGGUAGAGGGUAGUGGAAUUUCCUGUGUAGCGGUGAAAUGCGUAGAUAUAGGAAGGAACACCAGUGGCGAAGGCGACUACCUGGACUGAUACUGACACUGAGGUGCGAAAGCGUGGGGAGCAAACAGGAUUAGAAACCCCAGUAGUCC
rnacentral:rRNA from 1 species